rnacentral:rRNA from 1 species
GGUUAAAACGCUCGUAGUUGGAUAUCUGCUAAGGGGUUCCGGUCCAUCCGAGUGAUGAAUACGCGGAACUCUUCUUGGCAUUUGUUCAGGGAACGUGUUUGCACUUUGUUGUGUGUCACAUGAUCUGGAUUUUUACUUUGAGGAAAUGAGAGUGUUUCAAGCAGGCUUUUGCCGUGAAUAUGAUAGCAUGGAAUAAUAGCAUAGGACCCCUUUCCAAAGCUGUUGGUUUCUGGAACGAGGUAAUCAAAAUAAGGAUAGUUGGGGGUAUUCGUAUUUAACUGUCAGAGGUGAAAUUCUUGGAUUUUUUAAGGACGAACUAUUGCGAAGGCAUCUGCCCAGGAUGUUUUUGUUGAUCAAGAACGAAAGUUAGGGGAUCGAAGACGAUCAGAUACCGUCCUAGUCUUAACCUUAAACUAUGCCGGCUGGAGAUUGGAGUCGUCAGAAUAGUGACGUCUUCAGCAUCCUGAGAGAAAUCGAAGUCUUUGGGUUCCGGGGGGAGUAUGGUCGCAAGGCUGAAACUUAAAGGAAUUGACGGAAGGCACCACCAGGAGUGGAGCCUGCGGCUUAAUUUGACUCAACACGGGGAAACUUACCAGGUCCAGACAUAGAUAGGAUUGACAGACUGAUAGCUCUUUCUUAAUUCUAUGGGU